rnacentral:piRNA from 1 species
GCAGUCUAGAAAUGUCUAAGCAGACUUGA